rnacentral:rRNA from 1 species
CCUACGGGAGACUGCAGUGGGGGAUAUUGCACAAUGGGGGAAACCCUGAUGCAGCAACGCCGCGUGAGUGAUGACGGCCUUCGGGUUGUAAAGCUCUGUCUUCAGGGACGAUAAUGACGGUACCUGAGGAGGAAGCCACGGCUAACUACGUGCCAGCAGCCGCGGUAAUACGUAGGUGGCGAGCGUUGUCCGGAUUUACUGGGCGUAAAGGGAGCGUAGGCGGACUUUUAAGUGAGAUGUGAAAUACUCGGGCUCAACUUGAGUGCUGCAUUUCAAACUGUAAGUCUAGAGUGCAGGAGAGGAGAAUGGAAUUCCUAGUGUAGCGGUGAAAUGCGUAGAUAUUAGGAGGAACACCAGUGGCGAAGGCGGCCUACUGGACGGUGACUGACGCUGAGGCUCGAAAGCGUGGGGAGCAAACAGGAUUAGAUACCCGGGUAGUC